UGCCUAUUAGCUCAAAUGGAAGACCAAUGUGCAAUUGCACAUGGAUGUAGGUUCAAAUCCUACAUAGGCUU
rnacentral:tRNA from 1 species